UUUGUCUUACUGAAAAAAAGAGGAAGGCACUAACUCAUUCAACUAAAAUGCAGGUGAUUUGCUUGCUUUUGAAAUCCCCAUGCUAUUUCUGCUUGUUGCUUUCAGGUGGCCAUAUGCUACAUCAGCUCCAGACCCCAUUCCAGCAAUGUCAACUGUGAAGGGGUGUUUUUCAGUGGACUCCUUUUGUACCUCUGUGACUCUUUUGUAGGUGCUGAUCUUCUUAAGAAAUUUAAGUUUUUAAAAGGUAAAUCAAAUUAAGUAUCUUGAAUAUGAAUGUCACUGGUUCCCACUAGGAAAAAAUUCAGGUUUUUUUUUCUUUUUCUUUCUUUAAUGCAUAUUUUAACACUGAUUUUGGCCAAUAAUUUGGAUACUUGGUUAUCUGGUUAUCUUGAUUUUAAACCAGAGCCACUGGGGAAAAAAGAUCAUCAAAUCAUUGUUAUUUAUGACUAAAUGCAGGUGAACAGAGUUGUGACAACAUUAAAUACAGUUUUGCCACUGUUAAUUUUUGGAAGUAAUUUAAGAAUACAUAAUGCUCCUCCUUAAUUAAAUAGUUAAACAACUUAUGUUAAUGAGUCUACCCAUGUUUAUAGUAAUCUGAACAUAACAUUGCUUGGGUCAGACACCAGCUGCAAUAAAUGUGUAUAACUGCAUCCUCUGACAUAAACCCUUAGUUAUGAUUCUGGUACAGAAACUAAAGAUAAUUUUAAUAGGCAAAUUUAACUCUACGAUGCAUACCUAAGAACAAACUGCAGGUUAAGCAUCACAAAUCCUGGCAUGAUGGCUUUUGAGGUCAGUGGAAAAAAAAGGUUCAGAAAACGGUGUGUGGCAUAAGAAUAAAGAAAACUCCACUUAUUUGUGUACAUAUGUAGUUCUAAACUGGGAAGUUGGGAUGUGACUUUCAGAAGACAUUUGAUAUUGUCUGAAGAUAUUUUUUUUUUCGUUGCCACACUGGGAAAUGCUGCUGGCAUAUGGUGGGCAGAAGCCAGGGAUGCUGCUUCACAUUUUAAAAAGCACAGACUAGUCCCCCAAAACAAAGAAUUAUCCAGUCCAAAAGUGCUAUGGUUGAGAAACCCUAUUCUAGAGGACACACAAGACACACAGAUAGCACUGGUUACUACAGUUCAGUGAAUUCUCACUUUACAAUCUCAACUUUUUAAUUUGCAAAUCUACUUAGAAUAAAAACCUGAACAAUCCUGAUAUGCUACUUACCUAUAGAUUUCGUUCUAAGAAGUUUUGGGAAUACAUCAAAGAGAAAUAGUAAGGUUAUUAGUUCAAUCCAAGAGCCUAAGAUACAUUUUUGCCUUUUCCCUGAAGGUGCUACUCUGUGUGUCAUCUGCCAAGAUAGAAGCUCCUUACGCCAAACAAUUGUCCGCUUAGAGCUAGAGGACGAGUGGCAAUUCCGCCUCCGGGAUGAGUUUCAAACUGCCAACAGCAACGAUGACAAGCCUCUUUACUUUCUUACUGGACGUCAUGUAUGAGCUUUGGAAGAGACCAAAAAUUGCAAAGGGAUGCCUAGCUGGGGUGGGACAGAAACAAUUAUUGAGGGAUUUUUUUUUUUCUUUAAAGUACAAUCACUGUGGAGCAAAGUGCAACAUAUUUGUCUAUUCUCCAAAGAACUCCCCAAAUCUAACCAAGUCUUUGGGGACAUCACUCUCCUUCAGUUCUAAUUACAGGACCCUACAUUCAGGCGAACUCCACUGUAGGCAAUUAUGCAAUUACUUAAGAUGUGGUCUGCCUGUGGGAGCCUGAGGAGGAUAGACUUUGGAGAACAAACAUGGAGUUUGCAUUGGUUUUUUUCUACUAUACUGCAUUGGGGGAAAAACUGUCAGCAUUAGCUUGCUUGAAUGUGUUACAUGAGAUACACCAUUGGUGUGGAAAUAAUUGAAGAUUAACAUUUGAGGCCUGAACCCUCAGUUUCUCUUCAGAUCUGUACUUUGGUACAGUAUUACUCAGGGGUCUGAAAUGAUAGAAUGUAGAAGUUAUUUGUAUUUAAAAAAAGUAGUAGUUUUGUCUUUUUCUGUGCAGUGUUAGUUUAAGAUUUAUAAUCUUUUAUGUAUUGAAACUUUUGGCAAAAUUUCCACAGGAGUUAAGAGUUUACUAUUUAAAGUGAACAAACAAAUCAGUAAAUGCAGAGCAGGCAUUGUGUACAUUUAUGAAGAGUCUCCUAGCUUAAUUCCUUUGCUUUUCCCAUUCUUUAAAAGUUUCCAGUCUUAAAGCACACCAUGUCUAAGAGAAUAUGGAAUAGUGAUUAAUCUCGUUUAAGAACCUGAUUAAGCAGUUGGGCCAAUUAAGCAGCUUUUAGGAGUUAACCUGUACCCACCCUGUUUUGAUUGAAAAUAAGCAGCUAGCACUAGGCAAACCUAAAUGUCAAGCUGAGGCUCUGCUGUGGAGUAGAACCAGUCGUGCCCCCCGUUUCGCCCCCCAAACUCAAGCACAGCUUCCUUAAAAAAAAAAAAAAAAACAAUAUUAGCUGCCUUACACGGACAACACAGAAAGUGCUGGAAUGGGAAAUAGAACCAUGGAAAGAGAGAACUAUUUUACUUAAUUAUACCACUGACAUAUUUGUGAGGAGUAAAAAAGAUGCCAGGAGUUUUUGACUCAAAAUCAGUACAUGAUGUCUGACCAAUAUAAACAGUAGGAUUUCUCACCAAAUAUUUUAAUGAAGAGCAGAUUCUAGGAAAUAUUCUAGAAUAGUCUAUUUGAAGUUUAUACUUAUAUUACUCCGGUUCUCAUCAUUAAACAAUCUCUUUGAGAUUUUUUGAUUUGCCCACAUGUAUCACUUUAUCCCCACUUAAAAUGGCCUUUGUUACUUGAAUCUGUCUAGUGACCUGAAACUACUGAGAGGGGCCUACGAAGCCUGCAUUUACUUAGAACAAAUAGUGUUUUAUCUUGUGAUAACAAGGAGUUUACAGCUAGUGGAAAGAUGGAAUGUAUUAGAUUGAAAAUGGCUUGCAGAUCUCUUGGUUUUAAUAUAGCUACUUUUAAUGCUUUAAAUGUAUUUUGAAAUGAACAAUUCCUUUUAAUCCCCUUUUUGUCCUUCAAAGAAGACCUGCCUUAUUAUAUAUGCUUUAAAAACUUAGUAUAGCAGAAUUUUUAGCAAAGAGGUACGUUCUAAAGCAACUUGGUGUAGAUAUGAAUGUAUUUCACUUUUUCCUGUUUUGUUGAAAGGGCCUGAUGCAGAUGAUAUCAAAAAACCCACUGUUUGUGCAAUAUUCCAAUAACAUUUACUAUAGGGCAAAUAAAAUACUUGAAGUAGUUCUAAUUUUACCUGGGGCAGAUGGCCUCUCAGUGUUUGUUCUGGUUUUAUGUAUGAUUUCAUGGUCUCAAGGUUUUUUUAAGUUUCUUUAGAUGCAGGUACUCCAUGUUAGGGCUGCACUCUAAAAAUUCAAAUUAUUAUGAGUUCAGAACUACUACUCAACUCUGUGGAAGAGAAAUGCCAGAAUAAAGUCCAACACAUCAACUCGAUAGUGGAGAAAUUUAAGUUGACCUGCCUAAUUUUUCUUCUUUUUUUUUUUUUUUUGAAAGCCUCUUAAAUCACUUUAUCACUCUUAAUUCUUUAGAGAAUGUUAGGUCAUCUCUAAGGAGAAAAUUGCACAAGCACAGGACACCAUGAUUUGUUAGUGUAUGUGUUCAGUUUAUGCUUUUCCACCCUUUAAAACACUAGUGUGGAGUGAAUGGAUUCACUAGGCCCACACAAUAACUCACCUACACACCUGCUAAAAACUAUGGCAUGUAUGUAUGACACUUCACACAGGUUAAUACUAAAUGUAAACUAAAGAUUAGAAUUGUAGUUGUCAAUUUGGUUUGGCUGUAAUUUAUGCAAAUGCUUUUUGUGACUUUUAGAAAAAGGGGUACCUGUGUUACAUUAUUACUGUAAAAUUUUAACCAAAAUUUGGUGAAUUUCACUAGUCAGUCUACCUCACGUUUUGUUGAUGAUUCAAGUUGUCGUAAGUUGUGUCUACAGUAUGUUCUUGUCCUUUCAUUUAAUUUGGUGAAUGUAUUAAAAUUCUCUCCCACUCCCCACCCCCCAAAAUAGUUUGUUUUCUUUAAACUAAUUUUCUAUUAUGUUAAAAAAAAACAGAAUGUGCUCUCAGACUCUGACAACAUCCAAAAAAGCUUGGAAAUACCAAUAUUAUAGGAUGGAUGACUCAAAGAUUCUUCUAUUCUGGCACAAUAGUCCAAGAAAGUAGCAGAUAAAUAUUUGUUGAAUGAAAAUCUGUAGCUCAAAUACAUACACACACCUAAAGUAUCUAUAGACCCAUUUGUAGAGUUGCACAUAAUUAUAUAUGACAGACCUAGAAAUGAUUAAAGAAUUAGAAAUAUUCACACUACCUCCCCCAUCUUUUAUAGAUGGCAACUACACUCAGUUUGGUGUCCUACUCAGAAACACAGUGUUGGGUUUACUAGAACUGUGUAGUAUGAUACAAGGUACAUACUGUUAACUUCCAAUUUAUUUCUAAACUGCCUAAUUUUAUCAACUCUUGAACCCAUUAUACUCUCUUCUAGGCUAAAGGCCCCUUGUCAUUUACCUCAGGAGAGACAAUAAAUAUUUCUAAGCCUGAUAGCAGACUGACAGGAAACAAACUACCAGUUUUCCUUCUACAGCAUAUUCCCAAGCAGCCACCCUGAAAAGACUAAACACACCCAAGGCCAAAUCUUCACAUUCAACUACCUAGAUAGACCUGGACUAACAUCCUGGGAACAAACAUUUCUCAGGCUUCUCUUCACACAUGAAAACUUAUCCCCGCUUAAGCUUCCUCUGACUCUAGGAGAAUACUGCUAUAACUGAAGCCCUGGCCUCACUGGAAAAGUCAUCACCAAAGAUGAUUUCAGGAACAGUUAGUAAGGUCAAAGAAAAAGCCUUUCACAUAAUAAAUUCACUAUACUCUUAACUAGCAAGUUCUAAACUAAAGCAUCUACUCCAGGGCCUAUGACAACAGAUGGAACAAGUUCUAAGAAAGAAAAGGCAACCAGUAAGUCAUUCUCUGACCACUUCAUUCCAUAAGUAGCUCAUGUAUUUUAUUUUUACUAGGAGGGUGGUAGGGGUGAAGGACUGCCUUAAAACAGAAUUCUUCCCGUUUUCUGUUAGAAGGCUCAAGGGUCAUGAGAAAGAGACAGUUCUGUAGUCACUACCCUAGGAAUCAACUCAGCAAUCUUAACCCUAGGUGAAGUGUGGGUGGUCAGGAAUAUGGCUAUAUUUCCAUCCAAAGGGAUAAGACUCCCUUGCUGAGCAACUCCAAGUAAGUAAGAACAAUUAAAAUACCAUUACAAUGGGGCUG
rnacentral:lncRNA from 1 species